AGAGUUUGAUCCUGGCUCAGGAUGAACGCUGGCGGUAUGCGUAACACAUGCAAGUCGAACGAAGUUUUUCGGAACUUAGUGGCGGACGGGUGAGUAACGCGUGAGAAUCUGCCUUAAGGAUUGGGACAACAGUGGGAAACCGCUGCUAAUACCAAAUAUGCCUUUUAGUGAAACGGGUAAAACCGCCUUAAGAUGAGCUCGCGUCUGAUUAGCUAGUUGGUGUGGUAAGAGCGCACCAAGGCAACGAUCAGUAGCUGGUCUGAGAGGACGACCAGCCACACUGGGACUGAGACACGGCCCAGACUCCUACGGGAGGCAGCAGUGAGGAAUUUUCCGCAAUGGGCGAAAGCCUGACGGAGCAAUACCGCGUGAGGGAGGAAGGUUCUUGGAUUGUAAACCUCUUUUCUCAGAGAAGAAUAAUGACGGUAUCUGAGGAAUAAGCAUCGGCUAACUCCGUGCCAGCAGCCGCGGUAAUACGGAGGAUGCAAGCGUUAUCCGGAAUGAUUGGGCGUAAAGGGUCUGUAGGUGGUUGUUCAAGUCUGCUGUUAAAGCGUCUGGCUUAACCAGAUAAAGGCGGUGGAAACUGAACGACUAGAGUGCGGUAGGGGUAGAGGGAAUUCCCAGUGUAGCGGUGAAAUGCGUAGAUAUUGGGAAGAACACCUGUGGCGAAAGCGCUCUACUGGACCGCGACUGACACUGAUGGACGAAAGCUAGGGGAGCGAAUGGGAUUAGAUACCCUGGUAGUCC
rnacentral:rRNA from 1 species